UGGGGAAUAUUGCACAAUGGGCGCAAGCCUGAUGCAGCAACGCCGCGUGAGGGAUGACGGCCUUCGGGUUGUAAACCUCUUUUAGUAGGGAAGAAGCGAAAGUGACGGUACCUGCAGAAAAAGCACCGGCUAACUACGUGCCAGCAGCCGCGGUGAUACGUAGGGUGCGAGCGUUGUCCGGAAUUAUUGGGCGUAAAGAGCUCGUAGGCGGUCUGUCGCGUCUGCUGUGAAAACCCGAGGCUCAACCUCGGGCCUGCAGUGGGUACGGGCAGACUAGAGUGCGGUAGGGGAGAAUGGAAUUCCUGGUGUAGCGGUGGAAUGCGCAGAUAUCAGGAGGAACACCGAUGGCGAAGGCAGUUCUCUGGGCCGUAACUGACGCUGAGGAGCGAAAGCGUGGGGAGCGAACAGGAUUAGAUACCCUGGUAGUCCACGCCGUAAACGUUGGGCGCUAGAUGUGGGGACCAUUCCACGGUUUCCGUGUCGCAGCUAACGCAUUAAGCGCCCCGCCUGGGGAGUACGGCCGCAA
rnacentral:rRNA from 1 species